UUGCCACUUGAAGGAGAAGGAACCAAAACCACAAAGAAGGAAGCAGACCUCUUCUACAUCCCACCUUGGCCGGCAAAACUGUUUGUGUGAGCACAUCGAAGACACCAGCAUGUGACUUCGAAACUUGUCAGAGCUGCAACCUCUCUGCGGUCCACUUUGAUGCCCAGUAGCAGGUGAAUGAAGUUCUUCACUGAGCUGAUGUUACCAUGACUUACCGGUACUUUGUCAGUAGAUACUACAGUUUGUGUUGCAUCCUCUACUUUCUUCUAGAGUGCAGCUUUGCAGCGAAAGUGGAGGUUAAAGUUGGGGCAGACAUCACUUUAACGUGCAAGUACGACGCUCGCUACUAUGGCAAGCUGUCAGUGUGCUGGGGUCGAGGUCCACUCCCCAGCAGGGGCUGCGCCAACGAGGUCAUCAAGACGGACGGAACAUCGGUCACCAGCAGAUCUUCAGAGCGCUACCUGCUCAUGGGUAACAUCGUGGAGGGAGAUGUGUCACUGACCAUCAGACGGGUUGUGGAGAGCGACUUGGGCGUGUACGGCUGCCGUGUGGAAAUCCCAGGCUGGUUCAACGACCGCAAACAUCAGAUGAGCCUGAUGGUGGUUCCAGCGCAGCCUGAUGCACUCAAGGUGGAGAUGCAAGAGGUCAGAGACAGAACUGUCACCGUGAGCUGGUCUCAUGUGUUUGACGGCGGGAGGCCCAUCGAGUCUUAUAGGAUUGACCUCAAGAGCAAAGAGGCUCUUUGGGAUACCGCAGUGACAACUCACAUGUCAAAUCCAAACCUGACUCGGGUCACCCUCGUGGACUUGCGGCCAGCUAAGUAUUAUAGCCUUCGCAUGUUUGCAAUCAACAGUCAGGGCAUAAGUGAUGCCAGUAAUGUUCUCACAGUCGCCACAGAAGAAGCAGCGCCAGAUGGCCCGCCACUAGACAUGCAUCUCCAAGCGUUCUCGUCCACAAGCAUCAGAGUGUCUUGGAAGCCUCCUAGGUCCGACCUGAGAAAUGGUGUUAUACAAAGUUACAGCGUCAGCUACAGAGAGUACGACCCUGUCGGCAGACAUUUCAAAUGGUGGCAGCGGCAAAGUGUCACGGCCACAAAGCCGCAAGAGAGCCUCAUCCUGAGUGGAUUGAGGCCUUCCACACAGUACAGUGUGCUGAUAAAGGCCCAGACCAACGCAGGACUCGGGCCUGCAUCGAGCGCGCCCCUCUGCUCCACUUUGGCUGACACUCUCCCAACAUCCACCCAGGCAACAGUCAACACACUCUUCACCAUUACAUGGCCGAUGCCAGACACCACAAGGUUCAUCUCAGAUGUCACAACUCCAGCUGCAAAUGUGAAUGCCAGCGAGGCAUGGGAACAAAGCGCAACAGGUUUUUCCUCAGUUCCUCCAGAUCCCCCUGUUGUUGAGUUGAAGGAGGUUCGAGACAAUACAGUUUCUCUCUCCUGGACUCCUGGGUAUGGCGGAGAUGCCCCCAUUUCCGGAUAUUUUCUUGAGUAUAAAGCCUUGAAUGGCUCAUGGGAUGUUAAAAAGACAGUCGUGGACUUCAGCCCAAACCAGACAGAGGCCACCAUCAUAGAGAUCAAUCCCUCCACAUACAACAUCCGCAUGUUUGCCAAGAGCAGUCUGGGUAUAAGUAAAGCGAGCAACAUCCUUACUUUCACGACUGGAGAAACAGGUCACCAGCAGGAUGUUUUCUCAACACCCACAACCAGUAAUACUCAUGCUGCAACGAGCUCUGAGAACGGUGGAAAUGGCCGCAUUGUUGCCAUCGUUUUUCCACUUGUGCUGGUGUUGUUGAUUCUUGCCAUUGUGACUACAUGGCACCUGAGACGUGAGUAUGCUAAAUGAGCGAGAGAUACUUCGGAUCCAGCAAGUCCCUUUGAUGAACUGUCCCGCGUGUGUGCCCUCACAGGUGGCUGAGCCGCGGAGUAAUACUUUACAGAGGUUCUGAGUCCAUGCAGGAGCUGUGAGACAUGACUCUUUAAAAGAUGUCAACAUGAAUACCAGCGAUAGCAAUAUGCUUUCCUUUCAUUUUGUACUGUAUGCCUACUGUGAAACAUGGAGGAGUAUGGCCCUUAUAAAUGGCUUGCCGUAGUGGAGCCUUAUCAGUAUGUUACUGUAUCCCAGUAUAUUAGUGUAUCAUCAAUAAAUAAAUAAAUACA